UAGGGAAUCUUCGGCAAUGGACGAAAGUCUGACCGAGCAACGCCGCGUGAGUGAAGAAGGUUUUCGGAUCGUAAAACUCUGUUGUUAGAGAAGAACAAGGACGUUAGUAACUGAACGUCCCCUGACGGUAUCUAACCAGAAAGCCACGGCUAACUACGUGCCAGCAGCCGCGGUAAUACGUAGGAGGCAAGCGUUGUCCGGAUUUAUUGGGCGUAAAGCGAGCGCAGGCGGUUUCUUAAGUCUGAUGUGAAAGCCCCCGGCUCAACCGGGGGGGGUCAUUGGAAACUGGGAGACUUGAGUGCAGAAGAGGAGAGUGGAAUUCCAUGUGUAGCGGUGAAAUGCGUAGAUAUAUGGAGGAACACCAGUGGCGAAGGCGGCUCUCUGGUCUGUAACUGACGCUGAGGCUCGAAAGCGUGGGGAGCAAACAGG
rnacentral:rRNA from 1 species